GGUACGGCUGUUCGCCGUUUAAAGAGGUACGUGAGCUGGGUUUAGAACGUCGUGAGACAGUUCGGUCCCUAUCUGCCGUGGGUGUAGGAUACUUGAGAGGAGUUGCCCCUAGUACGAGAGGACCGGGGUGAACGAUCCACUGGUGGACCUGUUGUGGCGCCAGCCGCAGUGCAGGGUAGCUAUGAUCGGAAAGGAUAACCGCUGAAGGCAUCUAAGCGGGAAGCCCCCCUCAAAACAAGGUAUCCCUGAGGGCCGUGGUAGACCACCACGUCGAUAGGCCGGAGGUGUAAGCGCAGCAAUGCGUUCAGCUGACCGGUACUAAUGGCCCGAUAGGCUUGAUUUG
rnacentral:rRNA from 1 species